UCUCUCUGUUUAAUUAUUAGUGGUGACUCUGAACGCUGCAUUUGGGUUUUGUAUUGAAGCUUAAGUUGGCAGCAAAUGGAGAAGGUAUCCAGUUCUAAAGAACAACCCAACCCAUCUAAGCAUGGACUGACCCAACAGCGAGCCCAUACUGGACGGGCCAAUUAGACUCUCCCCGUCCCCAGCCGGCAGCCCUCUUCUUCCAGGCUCCAGAGCUCCAUAAAAAUUGGAGCUGUUGCAGAUUUCCCACAAAUUGCGAAGUGAAAAAGUCAAGCUUCUAAAGCCAAGUGCUUGCUCUUCCUCGGUUCAUCCCAUUUAAGACACUUAACUGCACCCAACUUGUUUGAGAGAGCCACAAAUACAGGCUGGGGAGCUGAAGAAGAUAGACUAUCAAGAUGGGCUCAAGACAAAUUCGAGGGUGGUUCGGCAGUAAGGGAUGGAAGACUUGAUCAGUCUAGCGUUCCAGACUUACUGAGAAAGAUUCACAUAAUUCCUGAGCAAAAUUCAGUGAUACAGGCGAGAAAAUAUCCUAUGAAAGAAAUGAUUCGAAUGCAAAACAUUCAGACAGAAGAUUUGUUGAGAAACACAAGGAGAAUGUAAUGAAGCACAAGAAUGAUUUGGAUAAGGUAGAUAACGCUAAAAGUUCAUGGAGAAAUGAUGACGAACCAAUGUCGAGAAGAGAUUACGGUACGAUAGAUGAACGAGUACUAUCAUAAAGAAGACGGGCAUGGUUGCCUGCCUAUCAAAAAACACUUCGGUCUUUAUAAUGUCACCGUCUGGUUUGAUCCAUUGUUGAGCUUAUGCCUUGAGUUUUUGCUGCCACAGAAUGGCUGUUCAUUGAGAUUCUGACUUGUAAAUCUCUGGUUUGGAUGGAUUGCAAUUCACUACAAUUGCAGUCCAACAAAUGGAAGGAUUUAGUAGUAAUCAUGAAGGAUUAUGGCAAGCAAUAUAUUCCUUUUCUUUACCUUGAAA